UACGUAGGGGGCUAGCGUUGUCCGGAAUCAUUGGGCGUAAAGCGCGUGUAGGCGGCCCGGUAAGUCCGCUGUGAAAGUCCAGGGCUCAACCCUGGGAUGCCGGUGGAUACUGUCGGGCUCGAGUCCGGAAGAGGCGAGUGGAAUUCCUGGUGUAGCGGUGAAAUGCGCAGAUAUCAGGAGGAACACCAGUGGCGAAGGCGGCUUCCUGGACCGGUUCUGACACUGAGGAGCGAAAGCGUGGGAGCGAUCCGG
rnacentral:rRNA from 1 species